GGAUUAGAUACCCUGGUAGUCCACGCCCUAAACGAUGUGUGCUAGACGUCGGGAGGCUUGCCUCUCGGUGUCGUAGCUAACGUGUUAAGCACACCGCCUGGGGAGUACGGCCGCAAGGUUAAAACUCAAAGGAAUUGACGGGGGCCCGCACAAGCGGUGGAGCAUGUGGUUUAAUUCGACGCAACGCGCAGAACCUUACCAGCCCUUGACAUGGUGGUUACGAUUUCCAGAGAUGGACUUCUUCAGUUCGGCUGGACCAUCACAGGUGCUGCAUGGCUGUCGUCAGCUCGUGCCG
rnacentral:rRNA from 1 species